rnacentral:snRNA from 1 species
AUCGCUUCUCUGCCUUUUGGUAAAGAUCAAAUGUAGUAUCUGUCCUUAUCAGUUUAUUAUAUUUUUUUCCAUUUAAGCACU